AGAGAGAUGUUUAAAGUUUAAACACCCCCCUGUGAAAACCCGCCGCCUGGGGGUAAAUAGGGAAUUUAGCAAAAGAGCGUACUUAAGUAAGUGCCAACCCUAAUUGGAAACUCAACGUUACUUGAUCUUAUCUGAGCAGGGAAGGCUGGCUUGGUCGAUGCCUUCUCAAGGCUCUCUCAGCUGCCCGCGUUGGUGACGGCGGAGCCAACCUUCGUCCUCCACUUGGACGCUGCCGGAGGCUCUGCCCCCAGUGGCAGGGACGCUGAUGCUUUGGGGCAUAAAGGCAAGGCCUUUUGUCGUCGGACCCUGCGGUGAAGACUGCCCGCGGUCAGAGCCCUUCGCUGUACUUUGUAUCGCUUGGGCGGUGAUGGCCUCGCGGGCUUGCCUAUACACAUAAAUCUUUAAUUCCUGGUUGCUUUAUUUCUUUUUCCCCCGAGAUAAUAAUGUGGUAUGAGUUCUCAAACUAUGGGACUCUGCAAAAGUAAGUUUGGACUCUGGUUUUGGUAUGCUCCAUGAACCUUGAUUCAUGGUAGGGAUGUGCUAUGCGUUUUAAUCAACUUAUUUGACGACGUUGUCCUUAUAUGCAAUAACGUCUCCACUGACCAGGACAUUGACGUAAAUUAGAAUUGUUGGCUCAAGGCUCAUUUGCUAACAUGGAGUUGUGGGGUCAGUCGUUUUUUGCUAAUACGAAUGAUCAAUGGGAAUGAUUGGUGUCAGUACCAGUUCGAUUCACCUAUGAAGGACGAACUGGAAAUAUUUACGUUUAUGGACAGUUCUGUGUCAACUCGUGCUCUAUAUUCUAUAACAUUUUUGUGGCAGUUUCCGUGCUGAUUCGCUAGGGUCUGUGUCUCUGGAAGGGUGUAUUUGAGUCAGAAUAGUUGCAGCUUCAACUCACAGUGGUUGAGGUAAAAUUCAACAAGAGGUCUUUCCCAGGAUGAAUAAAAAAUGGUGAUUAUCCGAAGUAGAGCACUUGGUAGUGAAGUUGGAAGUCCUUGUCCGUAAGGAGGUUAUGCAUGGUCUCACGCUCAAGAAGUUAACUUUAUCUCUUUUAUAACCCUAUCUCUCCUUGAAGUGUUCGACAAAUUAUGCUGUCGAAUCUCCAGCUGUUCGUGUUCUAAUAGACAGGGGGUCAUUUUUGCGUUGAAUUCCCAUUUCAAGCUUUUAGGUUACUGCUGCCUCUGCCUUUUCACUGUUAUAACAGCAUUAUUGAUCUGUACUCGCAUAUUGUUUCUUCAACAUGAAAAGGUAGAACAAGUUGUUUCCUCACUGAUUUUGUUAAUGGUUAUUUCCUUUACAUAAUUACAUAUUCAUAUGAAUGUGCCAUUGUUGGCUUUUUGCUCACCA